AUGAACGCUGGCGGCGUGCCUAAUACCUGCAAGUCGCGCGAACGGACGAGAAGCUUGCUUCUCUGAUGUUAUCGGCGGACGGGUGAGUAACACGUGGAUAACCUACCUAUAAGACUGGGAUAACUUCGGGAAACCGGAGCUAAUACCGGAUAAUAUUUUGAACCGCAUGGUUCAAAAGUGAAAGACGGUCUUGCUGUCACUUAUAGAUGGAUCCGCGCUGCAUUAGCUAGUUGGUAAGGUAACGGCUUACCAAGGCAACGAUGCAUAGCCGACCUGAGAGGGUGAUCGGCCACACUGGAACUGAGACACGGUCCAGACUCCUACGGGAGGCAGCAGUAGGGAAUCUUCCGCAAUGGGCGAAAGCCUGACGGAGCAACGCCGCGUGAGUGAUGAAGGUCUUCGGAUCGUAAAACUCUGUUAUUAGGGAAGAACAUAUGUGUAAGUAACUGUGCACAUCUUGACGGUACCUAAUCAGAAAGCCACGGCUAACUACGUG
rnacentral:rRNA from 1 species